CGAGUAAGCCAGACAGUCGCGGGAACAAGGCGAAAGCCUGUUCAUGAGGAAAGUCCGGGCUCCAUAGGGCAAGGAUAACGGGUAACGCCCGCCGAAGGCGACUUCAGGAAAAGUGCAACAGAGAUAUACCGCCUUGCGGCUUGCCGCGGGGUAAGGGUGGAAAGGCGAGGUAAGAGCUCACCCGACGGCUCGAAAGUGUCCGUCGCUGUAAACUCUAUCCGGAGCAACACCGCUAUGGGGGCAUCAGGCUUGCCCGGCCGCUCCCGAGGUGGCUUGAUCGCAUUGGCAACGAUGCGGCUAGAUAGAUGACUGUCAAAUACAGAACCCGGCUUACAGACUUGCUCGCAAC
rnacentral:RNase_P_RNA from 1 species